rnacentral:rRNA from 1 species
CAAAGGUCUCCGUUGGUGAACCAGCGGAGGGAUCAUUACAGAGUUGCAAAACUCCCUAAACCAUUGUGAACGUUACCUAAACCGUUGCUUCGGCGGGCGGCCCCGGGGUUUACCCCCCGGGCGCCCCUGGGCCCCACCGCGGGCGCCCGCCGGAGGUCACCAAACUCUUGAUAAUUUAUGGCCUCUCUGAGUCUUCUGUACUGAAUAAGUCAAAACUUUCAACAACGGAUCUCUUGGUUCUGGCAUCGAUGAAGAACGCAGCGAAAUGCGAUAAGUAAUGUGAAUUGCAGAAUUCAGUGAAUCAUCGAAUCUUUGAACGCACAUUGCGCCCGCCAGUAUUCUGGCGGGCAUGCCUGUUCGAGCGUCAUUUCAACCAUCAAGCCCCCGGCUUGUGUUGGGGACCUGCGGCUGCCGCAGGCCCUGAAAAGCAGUGGCGGGCUCGCUGUCACACCGAGCGUAGUAGCAUACAUCUCGCUCUGGGCGUGCUGCGGGUUCCGGCCGUUAAACCACCUUUUAACCCAAGGUUGACCUCGGAUCAGGUAGGAAGACCCGCUGAACUUAAGCAUAUCAAUAAGCGGAGGAAAAG